rnacentral:rRNA from 1 species
UACUCCUACGGGAGGCAGCAGUGGGGAAUUUUGGACAAUGGGGGCAACCCUGAUCCAGCCAUGCCGCGUGAGUGAAGAAGGCCUUCGGGUUGUAAAGCUCUUUCGGCCGGAACGAAAUCGCGUACGUGAAUAACGUGCGUGGAUGACGGUACUGGAAGAAGAAGCACCGGCUAACUACGUGCCAGCAGCCGCGGUAAUACGUAGGGUGCGAGCGUUAAUCGGAAUUACUGGGCGUAAAGCGUGCGUAGGCGGUUCUGCAAGUCAGAUGUGAAAUCCCCGGGCUUAACCUGGGAACUGCGUUUGAAACUACGGAGCUAGAGUACGGCAGAGGGGGGUGGAAUUCCACGUGUAGCAGUGAAAUGCGUAGAUAUGUGGAGGAACACCGAUGGCGAAGGCAACCCCCUGGGCCGAUACUGACGCUGAGGCACGAAAGCGUGGGGAGCAAACAGGAUUAGAUACCCUGGUAGUCCACGCCCUAAACUAUGUCAACUAGUUGUCGGGAAAGCAAUUUCUUGGUAACGAAGCUAACGCGUGAAGUUGACCGCCUGGGGAGUACGGUCGCAAGAUUAAAACUCAAAUGAAUUGACGG